GACGAACGCUGGCGGCGUGCUUAACACAUGCAAGUCGAACGGUGACCCAGGGCUUGCCCUGGUGAUCAGUGGCGAACGGUGAGUAACACGUGGGCAACCUGCCCCCUGACUUCGGGAUAACUCCUCGAAAGAGGAGCUAAUACCGGAUACGACCACUUCGGACAUCCGAUGGUGGUGGAAAGUUUUUCGGUCAGGGAUGGGCCCGCGGCCUAUCAGCUAGUUGGUGGGGUAAUGGCCUACCAAGGCGACGACGGGUAGCCGGCCUGAGAGGGCGACCGGCCACACUGGGACUGAGACACGGGCCCAGACUCCUACGGGAGGCAGCAGUGGGGAAUAUUGCGCAAUGGGCGAAAGCCUGACGCAGCGACGCCGCGUGAGGGAUGAAGGCCUCGGUUGUAAACCUCUUUCAGCAGGGACGAAGCGAAAGUGACGGUACCUGCAGAAGAAGCACCGGCUAACUACGUGCCAGCAGCCGCGGUAAU
rnacentral:rRNA from 1 species